rnacentral:lncRNA from 1 species
UUUUGAUUCAAUAGUUUAAUUUUUCAAUAUAAAAAAAUAGGUAAAUUGUAUUGUUAUCUUCUGAACUUUUGGCGAAGUUUCACAUUACCUCUCGAACUCCUAAAAUGGACAUCUAACAUUCUAAACUUUAAUAUUUCGUUUAUGUUACAUCUUCUGUCAGUUUUCCGUCAAGCUCCAUUAAGCGAAAACUGACAGAAGGAGUAAAACUAAUGAAAUAUUAGAGUUUAGAGUGUUAGAUAUCUAUUUUAGAAGUUUGGGGGUUAAGUGAAACUCGCCAAAAGUUCAGGAGGUAGCAGUGCAAUUUACCCUAUAGAACUUUUGACUAUAAAUUAUUUUAUUAUAAUAUGUUACUUAUGGAUUGACUACUAACCCUCAAGUUAAUGAUCAUACUUGAUUUUAAAUUUAUAUAUAUUUUUAUCCUAAAAUAAAUUAUACCACAAUUUAUCCUAUAUUUUAUUGUAAUAAAAUAAAAGCGAAAGAAAUAAAUUAGAGUGGCUUAAAGAUAAAAAAAGUGCGAUACUAACUACCUACGAUACUCGAACACUCUACUGUCCUGAUGUACUCGCUAAUAUGAUUGAUUUACAAUAGGUGUUCUCACUCGAAUAUAGAGAUUUUAAUACUCAGUUAAUUUUCUGUAGUACUCGUUUGUCCCUUUUAUCUUUAGAAGUAUUGUUCUAAAAAAUACACUUAUUUUCUAUGAAAUUAUGCAAUGUAAUUUUAUUGUAGUUUAACAUAAAAUUUUUGUACUUCAUUUCAGCCAAUUAAAAAAUUUUAAUAUAAAAAUAUAAAAUAAUAUUUUAUAAUACUUUAGAACAUUGCUUCUAAAGUAUGAUAAA